ACACCGGCAGCCCAAGUGGUGGCCAUUUUUAUUGGGCCUAAAGCGUUCGUAGCCGGCCUGAUAAGUCUCUGGUGAAAUCCCGCAGCUUAACUGUGGGAAUUGCUGGAGAUACUAUCAGGCUUGAGGUCGGGAGAGGUUAGAGGUACUCCCAGGGUAGGGGUGAAAUCCUAUAAUCCUGGGAGGACCACCUGUGGCGAAGGCGUCUAACUGGAACGAGCCUGACGGUGAGUAACGAAAGCCAGGGGCGCUAACCGGAUUAGAUUCCCGGGUAGUCCUGGCCGUAAACGAUGUGGACUUGGUGUUGGGAUGGCCGCGAGCUGCCCCAGUGCCGAAGGGAAGCUGUUAAGUCCACCGCCUGGGAAGUACGGUCGCAAGACUGAAACUUAAAGGAAUUGACGGGG
rnacentral:rRNA from 1 species